CCUCUGUAGUUCUAUGGCGUGGGGGGCCCUGCCCUCCUGCUGUGGUUCUAUGUCUUUACACACACACUGUGAUGAAGUCUCAUGGAAUGUACAUCGCGUUUAACGCAAUAUAAUACAACUUUCAGCAACGGAUCUCUUGGCUCUCGCAUCGAUGAAGAACGCACCGAAAUGCGAUAAGUAGUGUGAAUUGCAGAAUUCAGUGAAUCAUCGAAUCUUUGAACGCACCUUGCGCCCUUUGGCUAUUCCGAAGGGCAUGCCUGUUUGAGUAUCAUGAACACCUCAACUCUCAUGUUUUUCCCAUGACGAGCUUGGACUUUGGGGGUCUUGCUGGCCUAUGGUCGGCUCCUCUUAAAUGAAUCAGCUUGCCAGUGUUUGGUGGCAUCCCAGGUGUGAUAACUAUCUACGCUUG
rnacentral:rRNA from 1 species